rnacentral:rRNA from 3 species
UAGGGCUCUCGGCAAUGGAUAUCUUGGCUCUCGCAUCGAUGAAGAGCGCAGCGAAAUGCGAUACGUGGUGCGAAUUGCAGAAUCCCGUGAACCAUCGAGUUUUUGAACGCAAGUUGCGCCUGAGGCCAGCUGGCUGAGGGCACGUCCGCCUGGGCGUCAAGCAUUGAAUCGCUCC